GCCGAAGUGGCGAAAUUGGUAGACGCGCAUGGUUCAGGACCAUGUGGGGGAAACCCCGUGGAGGUUCGAGUCCUCUCUUCGGCACCA
rnacentral:tRNA from 1 species